GCAGUGGUAGUUCAGUGGCAGAAUUCUCACCUUUUAUGUGGGAGACCUGGGUUUGACUCCCAGCCAAUGCA
rnacentral:tRNA from 1 species